rnacentral:rRNA from 1 species
UACAGAGGGGGCAAGCGUUGUUCGGAAUUACUGGGCGUAAAGGGCGCGUAGGCGGCCUGCUAAGUCGAACGUGAAAUCCCCGAGCUCAACUCUGGAACUGCCUUUGAUACUGUCGAUCUGGAGUAUGGAAGAGGUGAGUGGAAUUCCGAGUGUAGAGGUGAAAUUCGUAGAUAUUCGGAGGAACACCAGUGGCGAAGGCGGCUCACUGGCCCGGUACUGACGCUGAGGUGCGAAAGCGUGGGUAGCAAACAGG